UCGGACAUGGUGCAAUGGAUAGCACAGCCUCGUAAAUUCUCCCAUGGGUUGGGAUGAGAGACAGACCGAGGUUCGAUUCCUCGUGGCCGUC